CCCUCAGAUCCCUCAAUCCCCUCAGCCCCUCCUUGGCUGCCAUUAUUAUUAUUAAUUAUUAUUAUUAUUAUUAUUAAUUGCAUUUAUAGUCCUCCCCAUAACUCUCUCCCCGGCCGGCUCUGCUCCGCUUGACCAGUGUCUCUGAAGCGAUUUCCGUUUUCUCCCCUUUGGGACAACAGAGUCCUUUCAAGACCAAGCAGAAAGGCUCCUUCUUCCCUGCAUUUUCCCGCCUGGUCUCUGGGAAUUUCCCCUUUUUCCCCCUGAGGGAAUUCAUUUCUCCCUUCUCUGCCCUCAGCUGCAUCUCCUGUGCCUGAGGGACAUUUCUUUUUGGGCCUCUUUCUGCAUCUUCCGCCUGAGUUUUGGCUCACAAUAUUUGACGUUUUCUCUUCAGCGCAGCCUCUUUUUCCUUGUCCGCCUUUUUCCCGCCAACUGAAUCUGUUUUCUUCAAAGCCUGAGCUUCUCUGUCAGGUUUGGGUUUCCUCCAUUUUGUCUCCUGACUGAAAUUCCCUCAGAGGUUUUCCCUCCGUUUCUGCUUCUGCCUGACUCUCUCUUCCCUUCAGGAGUCCUGGGUCACGGUGGGGCCUUCUCCUCACAGAACUCUCUUUCCCUCACAAAAUAGACAACUUUCUGCCGGAAUUCAUUCUCCUCCUGAGUUAUACUUCCUGUCAUGACUCUUCCACCAUUUGAGGCAAACCCUCCAACUCUCUAGGACUCCUAGAGAUAUAUAUAUAUUUAACCACCACAGGUUCUCUCUUGGAUUUUGUGUGAGGGAAACCUUAGAUGCUUGGAGACUCAGGGAGACGUUGAACGGAUAAGAAAGGUUUCAUUUACAAAACCAAGUUGGUAAAACAAAGAAGGGUCAGGAGUUGUGUCCUUUCAGGAAACAGUGAACUUAUUCAUGACACUAAACCUAAAGAGCUUUCAGCCGUUAAAACAAAGAAGUAAACGCACAGCUUCUCUUCAACUUCUCUGGCUAAAAAUCAAAGGUAGAUGUUCCACUUUCUAGAAGAGGAGGUGAAAUGCUUCACUCGGUUCCUCUUUCCUCCCUCUCAUUCCUUUACUCAGUUCUGAGUUCAAUCCUUUGGACGCAGCCCAGCUUCCUUCUCUGCUUAAAACUGGGGCUCCCUUUCCGUCACUUCCCCUCUCUCUUGGCAAUCCCACUCCUCAGGGGUUUCCAAAUAGCAACGCAUAUCUGGCUCUGCGGGGGUUAAGCUGUGUAACACUUAUUAUUAUUAUUAAUAUUAUUAAUUUAUAACCCAUGCUUUCCCUUAAGUUCCCAGGGAAGAGGACACCAUUAAAACCAUUUAAAACAAGUUGCAGUGACAGAAAGAAACUGAGUUGUUCUUUUCCUGGCUUUUUAGCACUUUCCCGCUCACAUGAACCUUAGUCUCAUGCAUGUGGCCCUCAGGGGCUUGGCCAGAUCAGGAUUUGGCCCUCAGAACAAGAAAAAGGGAUCCCACCCCAGGAGUCUGUCUGGAGAUGUUGGAGAUGCAAAGUGCUAGAAGCAGAAAUGUGUCCUGAAGGGGCUGGGAUGGAGAGCAACUCUUGAGGAGCCCAGGAUGAGGACCCUCAAUAGUGUCCACACUUGGAACAAAUGAUUCACUUCUCCAUCACUGUUCUGCUUCUAUCCCUGGGCUGAAAACACCGAGAGGCAGGAGCCACCAGGCUCCUUCGUCGGACAGAAAUCCCUUCCGUUGCCUCCACUUUUGGCCUGGUCAAAGAGGAUUUCUUCUUCUCCUCCUUCCUUCUUCCUUCCUUCUUCAACAAAGCUCAGAGUCUGGCCUGUGGUGCAGUCCAGUCCUGGUUCCUAGCAAGACUCAUCCACACUUGCUCAGAGAACCGUUCUAUUCUCCUGACAGCGGGUCAAUUUUAUAACAGAACAAUAUAUUUCCUUUGUAGAGUUUGCCAGCACCUCUCAUUCGGACAGACAGAACUUGACAGAGAACCAAGGGGUUCCUUCUGAUCUUUUGGAGACUUCCUGAGAGCAAAGAAAUAUGUUUGGAGAAGGGAGGGGGCAGAGAAAAGAAAGCGCUUCUUGGUGCAGUGCAGAGUCAAGCCUAUGGAACUCCCUGCCCCAGGAGGCCAGGCUGGGACCAGGGCAGGGAGGAGGAGGAGAGGCUCUGCUUGGCUUCAUGCAGGAGGGCUGAGCUCUUGUCUCCCCAGAGAUGCUUCUGAAUCCCAGUUGCUGGAAGGAAGCGCAGGGGGAGAGAGGGGAUCUUGCGCCCCAUCCUGCUGGGGGGCUUCCCCUUGAGCCCCCUGUGAGAAUCAUAGGAUCAUGGAGUUGUAGAGUUGGAAGGGAGCAUAAAAAAGUCCAACCACAAUGAACCAUUUCCACAUAGAUCCCAAGGAGCUAAAAAACAGAGAUGCAAAAAACCCGACAGCUACGAACCCCUAUGGCACAUUCACCCCUGGGUGGACCACACACAUCCCCGGCGAUUAAAUCUAGCACCCUGGUACUUCUCUUUUCAGUGCGUGGCGGGAAAAGAGGUUUACUUAGUAAUGCAACUUACACACUUGGUUGUCCCCAAGCACAGAGUUCUGGGUCUGCGUCGUCCUUCUGGCUUUUGUGUGCCACGUCUGCAGUCUGGAUUUCUGAGAGAUUAGUCUCAUAGGCCGUCUUCAUCAAAUCACUUCUGCACACACCUGGCCAUCUUUGGUCACUGGCCAGGUUGCAAUUCAAUCUUCAGCUCAGACAAUUAGGUAGUGCACUGCACAUAUUGUCAAAAGUAACAUUGCGUUCUGGUUGCUGUUGCCAGUUCCUCCUUUCCCAAUAUUCCCA